GCCGGUGAGGUGUAACAGGUUGCACGGCAGUCUUCCAAACUGAAGGUAGCGAGUUCGAGGCUCGCCACCGGCU
rnacentral:tRNA from 1 species